rnacentral:rRNA from 1 species
AGAGAUGUGUGAUGACGCAUAUCAAUAAGCGGAGGAAAAGAAACUAACAGGAUUCCCUUAGUAACGGCGAGUGAAGCGGGAAGAGCUCAAAUUUGAAAUCUUCAAGGUUCUACCUUGACGAAUUGCUAGUUUAUAAGAAGUGUUUUCUGUUAGUAGAGUUGGCUAAAAGUUCUUUGGAAUAGGACAUCAUAGAGGGUGAGAAUCCCGUAUUUGGUCAUUCUUUCUAGCUUUGUGAUACACUUUCAACGAGUCGGAUUGUUUGGGAAUGCAGUCCAAAAUGGGUGGUAAAUUUCAUCUAAAGCUAAAUAUUGGCGAGAGACCGAUAGCGAACAAGUACCGUGAGGGAAAGAUGAAAAGAACUUUGAAAAGAGAGUUAAACAGUACGUGAAAUUGUCAAAAGGGAAGCGUUUGACACCAGUGUUGUUUUUCCGAAAAUCAAUUAAGAAUGUUUUAGUUUUUGAGGAGUUAUGACUUCAUCGGCUUGCUCCUUUCUUUAUGAAACUUUCUUAAUGCACCUUUUCGGUUAACAAGUCAACAUCAAUUUCUUUUGUUGUAAAAGGGUAUGAGGAAGGUGGCUUUCUUUUCGGAGAAAGUGUUUAUAGCCUUGUGCCUCUACAAUCGGAGAGAUUGAGGUCUGCAGCGUAGAUCCUUCGGGGUUAGAUACGUUUGUGCUAAGUUAUAGCUUUUCAUAGACAACUUGUUGACUAUGUUUAGUCUUGUAGCUUACUCGCUGACGCUAUUUUACCUACGCUUAGGAUGUUGAGUAGCGACAUACGCAC